AUGAGCCUCAAGUUCCCCACUGGCAAUUUUGUUCUAUCACAAGUCCUGGUAAGUCCUGGCU
rnacentral:misc_RNA from 1 species